AUUGAACGCUGGCGGCAUGCCUUACACAUGCAAGUCGAACGGCAGCACGGGUGCUUGCACCUGGUGGCGAGUGGCGAACGGGUGAGUAAUACAUCGGAACAUGUCCUGUAGUGGGGGUUAGCCCGGCGAAAGCCGGAUUAAUACCGCAUACGAUCUACGGAUGAAAGCGGGGGACCUUCGGGCCUCGCGCUAUAGGGUUGUCCGAUGGCUGAUUAGCUAGUUGGAGGGGUAAAGGCCUACCAAGGCGACGAUCAGUAGCUGGUCUGAGAGGACGAACAGCCACACUGGGACUGAGACACGGCCCAGACUCCUACGGGAGGCAGCAGUGGGGAAUUUUGGACAAUGGGCGAAAGCCUGAUCCAGCAAUGCCGCGUGUGUGAAGAAGGCCUUCGGGUUGUAAAGCACUUUUGUCCGGAAAGAAAUCCUUGGCCCUAAUACGGUCGGGGGAUGACGGUACCGGAAGAAUAAGCACCGGCUAACUACGUG
rnacentral:rRNA from 1 species